GGGGCAGUACUGGUUUCGACAGGGGCCAUGCAGCUGGUGAAGCUAUCCGUAUGCAAUGCGUUAAAUGGCAAACCUAAAUAUAAACGCUGAAGAUAAUUUAGCAAUCGCUGCUUAAUUGCAGCUGUCAGCCUUAGAGCACUCACACUUUAAGUUCCUGGCAUCGACCAUGUGAGAAACGACGUAUGCAAAGCUUUGCGCAUGCGGGCGUAUGAUGAAGCUACUGAAACCGUCAGAAUGUCUGUUUUCGGGCGGCAGAGGGAAUGACAAAGAACAGACUAUGAUAGUAGAAGAACAGGGAAUUGGUUUUUGGACACGGGUUCAAAUCCCGUCUGCUCCACUU
rnacentral:tmRNA from 1 species